rnacentral:rRNA from 1 species
AUUGAACGCUGGCGGCGUGCUUAACACAUGCAAGUCGAUCGGUAACAGGGUGUAGCAAUACAUGCUGACGAGAGGCGGACGGGUGAGUAAUGCUUGGGAAUCUGCCUAUUAGUGGGGGACAACCCGGGGAAACUCGGGCUAAUACCGCAUACGCUCUACGGAGGAAAGCCGGGGACCGCAAGGCCUGGCGCUAAUAGAUGAGCCCAAGUCGGAUUAGCUAGUUGGUAGGUAACGGCCUACCAAGGCGACAAUCCGUAGCUGGUCUGAGAGGACGACCAGCCACACCGGAACUGAGACACGGUCCGGACUCCUACGGGAGGCAGCAGUGGGGAAUAUUGGACAAUGGGGGCAACCCUGAUCCAGCGACGCCGCGUGGGUGAAGAAGGCCUGCGGGUUGUAAAGCCCUUUCGGUGGGGAAGAAAAGUCUCGACCUAAUACGUCGGGACCUUGACGUAA